AUAGGCAGCAGGAACAGAC
rnacentral:misc_RNA from 1 species